CAAAACCAGUCGUUCUCCCCGCAGGCAACUCCAUAUCCAGCGCGCGUGCUCCGCCUCCCCAAUGCAAAUUGGUUUUCCCAACGCCGCUGGCCGGCAUCUCCCUCUCCCUCGACCUCCCCAGCGGCCUGCCCUCCUGUCCCCAAAUCCAGGCGAGGCAUGUGGGCGGCGGCGGCGGCGGCGAGGUGCGCCUCCCUCUCCCUCGAGAUUCGACCUCACCGGCGUCCUCUCCCCCAGUCCAUGCGGUGCGAGGCAUGAGGACGGCGGCGGCGGCGAGGUGACUACGACGCAACGGAGGUGAGGUGAGGCGACGGGACCACGGCACGAUCUAGGUUGGGCGCAUCGACGGCGCGGAGUCUCCCCUCCACGACAAUAAACUCGUCCACGCCCUCCUCUACUCCAGGGCCAGCCUAGGUUGAAUCAUGGGCAUUGCGUAAGGCAAUGGAUUCAUGGAGGUAGAGAUGGAAGAACAAUUUUUUAGGUGAUUCGUAAUUUCUUCUUUGACUCGAUGAAACGGAAUCCUCAGAAAAUACUCUUGUCUCUUCCUUUAUAGCUCAUAUAAGGCCUAUGCAAUUCCUUAGUUCCAGACUAUUGUGAACCUCGGAGGACUAAGGGAUAAAUUCCUCUCAUGGACUCUUAAUCGAUUGACAAUAAACUGGAUGGCGAGCCAUGAAGCAAUUAAGAGCGAGAAGCAUGGUGGCAAGGGAGAGAGCGCCAAUGGUUGCUGGAGAAGAUGUCAAGUCUUCGUCAUGACACGCGGUUGAGGCCAUAUAUAGGUUGUGUUCAAGAUUUGUUUUGAUCAAAUAUAGCCACCCUGAUCAAAUCAUCUAUAUUGUUUCGUUGCAAUGCGUUGGCACAUUGAUAUAUACCAUGCAUUUGAGAACUGUAGACCUUUAUUUAUUGAAAUGGCUUAAGAUUUUUGCCCAUCUGCAGGAUAAUGUCUGUAUGAUGUCAAAUCAUAAAACACAGCAUCCAACACUUCAGUUAUAUUUAAGCUAGACAGACAGAGUGACUACGUCAGCGACACCAAUCAAGAGUGAAAGUGUCACCGAUCGACACAUUCAAGAAUAGUGGCAAGGGACCGGAAGUCAGAUGGCUCUAACAAGCAGGAGCACCUGCAGGGCACACAUCAUUAUUUCAAUGACACCAAGGUCGCGUCGGAGUUUGACAUGAUGUCCUUGCCCUACUACACUCCAUUCAGCGGCAUGGUUAGUAUGACUACAAAGAUGCACUAGAGAAAUGGUCAGGCAAGCUCGCGGAGUUGAGCAUGGGAAAGCAGCCAGAGAACGGCUAUGGUUGAUGUUCUGAUUAGAGGUUCAGAGUGUGGGGGGCAUGGUAAAAUUCAUCCCUUCUUUUGAAAUUUGUAGGAAACCAGAAACAAGGGCACUCUUGUAUAUAUGACGACACUUGGUCCUGCUUGUGUUAACAGAUAGUUUUGUCAGAGAGGAAAGCAACUCUUUUUGAAAUGAACUUGUAUGUAAGUUGUAGUUUCAAUGCAAUUUUUUAUUUUUUUAUUUGUUAGUUGUAGGCAGCCGGAUGUAAUGUUGUGAUUCCCUUUUUAUAAUGUUGAAAUAAAGCCAUAUUUCAGAUAAAUAGUUUGUGUA